AGAGUUAAAAAUUGCUCAGGAUUCCAAGGAAUCUAUGGAGGAGGCUCAGCAGCAGCUGGAUGGCAGAGGCCCGGCUGCUACAGGAAGGUGAAAUAAGACAGAAGAAAAGGGUUAGAACUUUAGAACUCCAGGACCCAACCUCAGUCCUUUCAAGCACCGUCUGCAAACAGAUGCUGUGCUAGACUCAGCACCCUGUCUGGUGAAACUGCUCCUUGGGGUGACAUCGGUCGAAUGUGUGAGAGGCUUCAGCGGAUGCCCUGACUUUUACACCAUGGAAGGGCUUUCUCCUCACUCUCCAUUCUUCAUCCCACUCCAUCCAUGCGCUUUCUCCCCUCCCCAUGGGGUGGGGUGGGGGAGUCUUUCCUCCAGCUGAGAGCAGAGGCCUUGGCCAACUAGAUGUGUCUUCUGGGAUUUCACAGUCGGGCCACCUCUCACCUCUUGCACAGGCUGGUGGGUUAAAUGAAACUCCUGUAGCAACUCACAGAGCAUUUGAUUUAAAGCUAAGAUUUAUAGGAACUCACAAGUCAGAAUGGAACAAUAAUUUCCCUCCGGUUGCACUGCCACUACUGAGGAGCAAUCGCCUAAUUCCACACAGAGUUUGCUGAUUCUGUGGGCCUAACAGAGAACUCCAGAUGGGCAACUAGGAGCUAAGAAGUGCAUCCUAUGUCACCAGGAGCUAAUUUUCCCUGGAUUUUCAAAGAGGCCUCAUAUUUGACCCAUGUCAUGGCAGGGUGAAAUAUAAGUCCUUCCUGAACCCUUGGAAGCUGAACGUUGUGGACAUCAGCCAUGGGAAAUACAUUUCCUUUAAACUGAUCACCAGGCCUUAGUAUGAUCCAUGCCUUGAGUGGACAGAGACCUUUCAUGUUUGGUCAUUACUCAGCCAGACACUUCUCUGAGAGGUGAUGACUUCCCUAGGAAGGAAUAACAAAGCCCCUUUCAGGCUGUUGAUGGGCCCUGUCCACUUUAAUUUUGCAUUCAGCCUCGCUCAUUUCUGUGAGCUGAGAUUUUGAUUAUUCUGAUUUCCACGACUCCUUUUGUGAAACAGAGACACUGAGGUGAAUGCACGGGCCCAGUCCCCUCCUUUUUGAGUGUGCCCUCGGAAGCAGAGGCAGGUGGUGUUGCCGAAACACCCAGGUUCUGUCUAGGUCCUGCCGCUCCCUGCACAGAAAGCCAAUCACAGAGAUGACAAGUAUUGCCAAGGAAGAAGGCUUUAAUCAGGUGCUGUAGCUGAGAAGAUGGGAGCCCAGUCUCAAAUCCAUCUCCCCAUCCACCUAAAACUAGGGGUUUAUACACCAGGGAAGAAAGAUAACAGUGUGUAAGAAAACAGGAACUACGGAGGGGCAAGGAAGCAGUCACAAUGUAGGGUAUCUCAUUGUCUGGAUGUGUUGAUCUGGUGAGUUUCCCUUCUUUGAUGAUACUUUUUUUUUGAGAGGCGGUGGCUCAUGCCUGUAAUCCCAGCACUUUGGGAGGCUGAGGCGGGUGGAUCAUUUGAGGUCAGGAGUUCGAGACCAGCCUGGCCAACAUGGUGAAACCCCGUCUCUACUAAAAAUACAAAAAAAAUGAGCCAGGUGUGGUGGCGGGCACCUGUAGUCCCAGCAAUUCGGGAGGCUGAGGCACGAGAAUUGCUUGAACCCAGGAGGCAGAGGCUGCAGUGAGCCGAGAUUGCACCACUGCACUUCAGCCUGGCGACAGAGGGAGACCCUGACUCCAAAAAAAAAAAAAAAGGUAAGGUUCAGCCAGGUGUGUUGGCUGACGCCUGUAAUCCCAGCACUUUGGGAGGCCAGGUGGGUGGAUCACGAGGAUCACAAGGUCAAGAGAUGGAGAACAUCCUGGCAAACAUGGUGAAACCCCAUCUCUACUAAAAAUACAAAAAAUUAGCCGGGUGUGGUGGCAGGCACCUAUAGUCCCAGCUACUCGGGAGGCUGAGGCAGGAGAAUAUCACUUGAACCCGGGAGGUGGAGGUUGGAGUGAGCCAAGAGUGUGCCACUGCACUCCAGCCUGGAGACACAGUGAGACUCCAUCUCAAAAAAAAAAAAAAAAAAAAAAAAAAGGAAGGUUCAAACUUUAGAACCAGAAGGGUCAAUUUCUACGUUUAUCCAAAAAACUAUUUAUGGGACUAUUGGGUCAAUUUCAGUGGGAGGCCCCAGGGCCAUGCCCCAGAGGAAGAGACUGGCGUUUAGGGAAUGAAAGCACAGGGAAGUGAGGAACGUGGAGUAUUGCAGAGCCAAGCUGAGGGGCUAUGGCAAGAGAGGCGAAGAAGAAAGACAAAGCAGCAAGCCAGCAGGCAGAGGGAGGCACAGUGAGGCAAAAGCUGGUUCUGGAGCCACCAUGUAAGCAAAUUCAGCUCCUUUUACACCUGGCUCAGGCCACUUCAUGGAGCUAAGGUGGGGCCGGGUGCCCCAUCUUCAUCAUCCUGUACUCCUAGAUUCAUUGCAAAUAGUUUGUUCUGAGUUUUAGGGCCUUCUGGGAUGAAUGAGGGGGGUGGUACCCCAUUCUUUGCCCACCAUAAGCAGCAGAGAAGGCCUCCUCAAAAACCCUGGGGGCUUAGGUAAAACCCCUCUCCUGUACAGAGCACACUGUGAGUGUUCAAUAACCAGUCAUGGUUAGAUUAUCCAAAAGAUUAUCCAAAAGCCCAUGCAGGAGGAGAGGGUAUGAAAAGGGCAUGGGAAAUAUUACAGAGAAGUGAGGGGGCACAUUUAAAGAAAAAAGAAAAGGAGACAAGAAUGGGGCUUAGGUAGGUCUGACACUUGGUGGGGGCCAUUAGCCAGAGGACCCAGUGCUGGAGAGCUAUCCCUGGUUUGUGAGGAGUUACUGGUUAGAUAACCUCCCUAGAUUGGACUAUCCAGAAGGAUCAGCAUGGUACACGUAUGUUUUUUGUAAGAUAUUGUAAGACAUCAUUUGUUAGAUGUCAGAUCAAAAAGUAGUUUGUACCAAGUCAGGGCUCCCAACCUUCUCAAGUGUGAUGGCCAUCUUAUUUCUUGCCUGUUAACUCUUUUUAAUAGUGAAAUAUGACAAACAGAGGAAAGUGCAUUAAAACCUGAGUGUUGACUGCUGGUUCCCCCAAGAUGGAGAGUCCCAUUCCUCCCAGACACUCCCUCUUACAGGUAAAAUAUCUGGACAUAACACAACAGACAGCAGAAGAAGACUCUGAAAGCUGGAGGAAGGAAGAAAAAAAGCCUAGGGACCUCAGACCUUGAAGAAUGACAGGGCAAACCCAAAUGGGUAAACACAAAAAAAAUAAUUAAACUUCUUAACAUCAUAAACACCCAAAACUACAAACAAAGGAGAAAAUAUUGAAAGAACCAGAGAGAAAUGAAGCAUUAUUCAUGAGGAAUAUUUGUUUGAAUGACAGUGGAUUUCUCAUCUUGAAACCAUGGAGGCCAAAAGGAAGAGGCACAACAUUUUUCAAGUUGAAGAUAGAACUUAGAAUCACAAAUCCAAUAGCCACUGAAAACGCCCUUCAGGAAUGAAGGAGAAAUCAGACAUUCUCAGAUGAAAGAAAACUUAAGAGAACUUAUUGCCAACCUAGAAGAAAUGUGCUAAUGUCAAGAAAGCUACAAACUACCAAACUCAACGAGGAUGAUAGAGACAACCUGAAUAGUUCCAUAGCUGCUACAGAAAUUAAAGUUAUAAGCAAACGGCUCACAAAAAAGAAAUCUUCAGAUGAAAAUACUUUAAGGAGUAUUAAUACCAAUUUUACACACUCUAUCUCAGAAAGUAAAAGAAAGAACGUUUCCUGGCUCAUUGUAUAAGGCUAGUAUUACCCUGAUACCAAAAUCAGGAAAAUGCAGUACAGAAAAGAAAGUUAUAGACCACUAUCUCUAUAAAUUUAGACACAAAAUUUAUCAACAAAAUUUUGUAAACCUAAUACAGCAUCGUAUAUAAAAAAUUAUAUACACCAUGAUGAAGUGGGAUUUAUUCCAUAUAUGCAAGUUUGGUUCAAUAUUCCAGAAUCAGUCAAUGUAAUUUACUCUGUUAACCAGGUAAAGAAUAAAAAUGAUUAUAUCAUUUGAUGCAGAAAAAAAGAUUAACACAAUCCUAUGCCCAUUCACGGUAAAAAGUCUCAGCAGACUAGGAAUGGCGGGGAGUGGUGGGGACAAUCCUAAGUUGAGAAAGAGCAUCUAUUUAAAAACCUAGGCUGGGCACAGUAGCUCAUGCCUGUAGUCCCAACACUUUGAGAGGCUGAGAUGGGCGGAUUGCUUGAGCCCAGAAGUUCAAAACUAGCCUGGGCAACAUGGCAAAACCCCGUCUCUUCAAAAAAUACAAAAAUCAGGCUGGGCAAGGUGGCUCACACUUGUAAUCCCAACACUUUGGGAGGUGGAGGUGGGCAGAUCACUUGAGGUCAGGAGUUUCAGACCAGCCUGGCCAACAUGGUGAGACCUCGUCUCUAACAAACAAUACAAAAAUUAGCUGGGCAUGGUGGUG
rnacentral:lncRNA from 10 species